ACGAGUUUGAUCAUGGCUCAGGAUGAACGCUAGCGGCAGGCUUAACACAUGCAAGUCGAGGGGUAUAGUAGCAAUACUAGAGACCGGCGCACGGGUGCGUAACACGUGGGAAUUUGCCUCGGGGUAUGAAUAACUCAGGGAAACUUGAGCUAAUACCAUAUAAUGUCUUCGGACCAAAGAUUUAUCGCCCUGAGAUAAGCCCGCGUAGGAUUAGCUAGUUGGUGGGGUUAAAAGGGCUCACCAAGGCGACGAUCCUUAGCUGGUCUGAGAGGACGACCAGCCACACUGGAACUGAGACACGGUCCAGACUCCUACGGGAGGCAGCAGUGGGGGAAUUUUUGGACAAUGGACGCAAGUCUGAUCCAGCCAUUCCGCGUGAGUGAUGAAGGACUUCGGGUUGUAAAGCUCUUUUACUCGGGACGAUAAUGACGGUACCGAGAGAAUAAGCCCCGGCUAACUCCGUG
rnacentral:rRNA from 1 species